GUGAAUAUAACUCAAUAGGUUAGAGUGUCAGAUUGUGAGUUUGAAAGUCACGGGUUCGAGUCCCGUUAUUCACC
rnacentral:tRNA from 1 species